rnacentral:rRNA from 1 species
ACGCUGGCGGCGCGCUUUAUACAUGCAAGUCGAACGAGAAGCCAGAGCUUGCUCUGGUGGAAAGUGGCGAACGGGUGAGUAACACGUGAGAAACCUGCCCCAAAGACUGGGAUAAGCCGAGGAAACUUGGUCUAAUACCGGAUACCUCUUUUUAUCACAUGUUAAAAAGAAGAAAUGCUCCGGCGCUUUGGGAUGGUCUCGCGACCUAUCAGCUUGUUAGUGAGGUAAAAGCUCACCAAGGCAUCGACGGGUAGCUGGUCUGAGAGGAUGUCCAGCCACAUUGGGACUGAGAUACGGCCCAAACUCCUACGGGAGGCAGCAGUAGGGAAUCUUGCACAAUGAGGGAAACCUUGAUGCAGCGACGCCGCGUGCGGGACGAAGGCCCUAGGGUCGUAAACCGCUUUCAGUAGGGACGAAAGUGACGGUACCUACAGAAGAAGCCCCGGCCAACUAUGUG